AUGCUUACUGCCCAACAACAUCUUUUCGAAGCAAACGGAGCUCACCGAUAUCAAGUUUUACUUCCGCCGAAUACGAAAGGAGGAGGCAAGGGAAGUUUCUUUUGGGAAGCAAGCCCCUCAACUUAUCCGCUUAUCGGAAAGAGUAGGGACCUACUACCUACAGGCAUAGACAGGACAGCAAACUUCUGGGCACCUUUUUGUAAGUCAUAUCUAUUCUUUGCUCGUUAA